GAGUUUGAUCCUGGCUCAGGACGAACGCUGGCGGCACGCCUAACACAUGCAAGUCGAACGGAGAUAUUUUGGUUUACUGAGAUAUCUUAGUGGCGGACGGGUGAGUAACACGUGAGCAACCUGCCUCUGAGAGAGGGAUAGCUUCUGGAAACGGAUGGUAAUACCUCAUAACAUAACGAAGCCGCAUGACUUUGUUAUCAAAGAUUUAUCACUCAGAGAUGGGCUCGCGUCUGAUUAGAUAGUUGGUGAGGUAACGGCUCACCAAGUCGACGAUCAGUAGCCGGACUGAGAGGCUGAACGGCCACAUUGGGACUGAGACACGGCCCAGACUCCUACGGGAGGCAGCAGUGGGGAAUAUUGCACAAUGGGGGAAACCCUGAUGCAGCGAUGCCGCGUGGAGGAAGAAGGUUUUCGGAUUGUAAACUCCUGUCUUAAAGGACGAUAAUGACGGUACUUUAGGAGGAAGCUCCGGCUAACUACGUGCCAGCAGCCGCGGUAAUACGUAGGGGGCGAGCGUUGUCCGGAAUUACUGGGUGUAAAGGGAGCGUAGGCGGGAUGGCAAGUCAGAUGUGAAAACUAUGGGCUCAACCCAUAGACUGCAUUUGAAACUGUUGUUCUUGAGUGAAGUAGAGGUAAGCGGAAUUCCUGGUGUAGCGGUGAAAUGCGUAGAUAUCAGGAGGAACAUCGGUGGCGAAAGCGGCUUACUGGGCUUUUACUGACGCUGAGCUCGAAAGCGUGGGGAGCAAACAGGAUUAGAUACCCUGUAGUCCACGCUGUAAACGAUGAUUACUAGGUGUGGGGGGACUGACCCCUUCCGUGCCGCAGUUAACACGAUAAGUAAUCCACCUGGGGAGUACGGCGCAAGGUUGAACUCAAAGGAUUGACGGGGCCCGCACAAGCAGUGAGUAUGUGUUAAUUCGAGCACGCGAGAUCUUACCAGUCUUGACAUCGUAUGCAWCCUAAAGAWAUGCAAUUCCUCGGACUAWGACAGUGGKCWGUAAGGCGAAUUCAGCACUGCGYCGUCWUAUGGAUCGAGCUYCGUACCACCU
rnacentral:rRNA from 1 species